CCAGCGUUCCCGCCCCUUCCGUGUGCACAUGGAGGCCGGGGUGGGGCGGGGCAGGCGCAGCCCGGGCUGAGCUUGCAGGGCCGCUUCACUCACCCAACCUCUUCGAGUCCUCCGCGGGCUCCGCCCCACCCGGCCCGUGAGGGAGGUUCUGUCCCGCAGCCUUCGCCCGCGAGCUGCUCUCGGGGAUGGUUCCCGCUCGCGUUGGGCGCACCUCGGCGCGCUGGGCUGCGCUGGCGCUGCUGCUCCUCGGCCUGCUCCGCCCUCUGGUGGCCGCCCCUGGUGACCCCCAGCACCGCCUGAUCCCCCAAACCAAAGCCAGAUCCAAGCCCCAACCGACCUGGUUUCACUGGUAAGAGCCUCUAACCCUACGGGUGGUCUCUAUGUCGUUUACCUGGCAGUGAUGUUUGUGUCAUCUGAGAAGAGGAGAUUUCAGGUGAGCCUGUUCCUGCCGUUGAACUACAAGGUGAUUGCAUUGCUCAA
rnacentral:lncRNA from 1 species